GACACACCGGGCAGACGGGAUGGGGGGUUAAUAGGUCCAACAAACACAGGGCUUUCAUCCAGGAGACCGCUGUUUUUGUCCCGUGUGUUAUGUUUCACUUCGACUUUAAAAUCAGCUGAUCGUCUGUGUCCCAUUUUCACAACGUCAAGUCACAAUUUCACCUGAACAAACAUAGUCAUUUUAAGUCCAACCAUGUUGUUUUUUCCUAAACCUAACUAAGUUGAUUUGUCGCCUAAACAUAAGCAAGUGAUUUUUGUUUGUUCAUAACGUUAAG